rnacentral:precursor_RNA from 12 species
GCAAUCCCUGCCUGCUGCCCUGCUGCCACAAACCCGUAGAUCCGAACUUGUGCUCAUAUUCCACACAAGCUUGUAUCUAUAGGUCUGUGGCUGGCUGGCAAGAGCACCCCGGGGUGC